rnacentral:rRNA from 1 species
GACAGAGGCCUCAAGCGUUAGGCGGAAUCACUGGGCUUAAAGCGUGUGUAGGCGGAUCGUUAAGUGCCUUGUGAAAUCCCACGGCUUAACUGUGGAACGGCUGGGCAUACUGGCGGUCUUGAGCCAUCUAGGGGCGACUGGAACAAACGGUGGAGCGGUGAAAUGCGUAGAUAUCGUUUGGAACGCCAAUGGUGAAAACAGGUCGCUGGGGAUGAGCUGACG